rnacentral:rRNA from 1 species
GACGAACGCUGGCGGCGUGCCUAACACAUGCAAGUCGAGCGAGACCUUCGGGUCUAGUGGCGCACGGGGGCGUAACGCGUGGGAACCUGCCCUUAGGGUCGGAAUAACUCCCCGAAAGGGGUGCCAAUACCGGAUAAUGUCUUCUGACCAAAGAUUUAUCGCCUUUGGUUGGGCCCGCGUUGGAUUAGCUAGUUGGUAGGGUAAAAGCCUACCAAGGCGACGAUCCAUAGCUGGUCUGAGAGGAUGAUCAGCCACACUGGGACUGAGACACGGCCCAGACUCCUACGGGAGGCAGCAGUGGGGAAUAUUGGACAAUGGGCGAAAGCCUGAUCCAGCAAUGCCGCGUGAGUGAUGAAGGCCGUAGGGUUGUAAAGCUCUUGUACCCGGGAUGAUAAUGACAGUACCGGGAGAAUAAGCUCCGGCUAACUCCGUG